CCUACGGGUGGCAGCAGUAAGGAAUAUUGGUCAAUGGACGCAAGUCUGAACCAGCCAUGCCGCGUGAAGGAUGACGGCCCUCUGGGUUGUAAACUUCUUUUAUCUGGGACGAAAAAAGGGCUUUCUAGCUCGACUGACGGUACCAGAGGAAUAAGCACCGGCUAACUCCGUGCCAGCAGCCGCGGUAAUACGGAGGGUGCAAGCGUUAUCCGGAUUUACUGGGUUUAAAGGGUGCGUAGGUGGGUCUGUAAGUCAGUGGUGAAAUCUCCGAGCUUAACUCGGAAACUGCCAUUGAUACUAUAGAUCUUGAAUUAUCUGGAGGUAAGCGGAAUAUGUCAUGUAGCGGUGAAAUGCUUAGAUAUGACAUAGAACACCAAUUGCGAAGGCAGCUUACUACGGAUCGAUUGACACUGAGGCACGAAAGCGUGGGGAUCAAACAGGAUUAGAUACCCCAGUAGUC
rnacentral:rRNA from 1 species